rnacentral:rRNA from 1 species
CAGCCGCCGCGGUAAUACGUAGGGUGCGAGCGUUAAUCGGAUUUACUGGGCGUAAAGCGUGCGCAGGCGGCCCGUUAAGACAGGUGUGAAAUCCCUGGGCUCAACCUAGGAAUUGCGCUUGUGACUGGCGGGCUCGAGUACGGGAGAGGGGGGUGGAAUUCCUGGUGUAGCAGUGAAAUGCGUAGAGAUCAGGAGGAACACCGAUGGCGAAGGCAGCCCCCUGGGCCUGUACUGACGCUCAUGCACGAAAGCGUGGGGAGCAAACAGGAUUAGAUACCCUGGUAGUCCACGCCCUAAACGAUGGGUACUAGCCGUUUGGUGCGCGAUAGCGCUGAGUGGCGAAGCUAACGCGUGAAGUACCCCGCCUGGGGAGUACGGCCGCAAGGUUGAAACUUAAAGGAAUUGGCGGG